rnacentral:rRNA from 1 species
UUAUGUACAUGCCUAUGACAUUAAUGCAUCAGAUCCCAUUAGAAAUCUGCAGUUAAGUGCACUUUGGAUAGAGUAGUGCUGGGAUGGGUGACCUCUCGGGAAGUCCUAGUGUUUUACAUGCC